rnacentral:tRNA from 1 species
GCCUCAUUAACUCAAUGGUAGAGUGCCCGCCUGUCUAGUGGGUUGCCAGCGGUUCGAUUCCGCUAUGGGGCG